GAUGCACGCUAGCUAUAGGCUUAACACAUGCAAGUCGAGGGACCGGCGCACGGGUGAGUAACGCGUAUCCAACCUGCCCAUAACUAAGGGAUAACCCAGCGACAGUUGGACUAAUACCUUAUGGUUAUGGUUGGGGAUUCGUCUGAUUAGCUGGUUGGCGGGGUAACGGCCCACCAAUGAAACGAUCAGUAGGGGUUCUGAGAGGAAGUUCCCCCACAUUGAAAAUGAGCCACGGUCCAAACUCCUACGGGCGGAAGAAGUGAGGAAUAUUUGGCAAUGGGCUUUAGCCUGAACCAGCCAAGUAGCGUGAAGGAUGAAGGCUUAUGGGUCUUAAACUUCUUUUAUAUAAGAAUAUGUAUUAUAUGAAUAAGGAUCGGCUAACUCCGUGCCAGCAGCCGCGGUAAUUC
rnacentral:rRNA from 1 species